rnacentral:lncRNA from 1 species
GAGAGACAAUCCUGACUGCAAAAAAAAAAAUGGAUGCUGUCGAUCGAGGGGAGGGUCGUAAUCCCACCUGGUGCUCACAUGGCGGACUUCACCACUGCCUUGGCCGCUCUCUUCGACUGUUACUAUGUAUUCAACCUAGAGUAUUAGGUGGAAGCCAGCACAACACUGGAGUUUGUUCAGAGGUGCGGACAGGGAUGGACUGGGACUAAAAAACGGCCCUGGACUUUGACUAGGCCUGGCCCAAAGCAAUCGGCGUGCAGAAACUCGACAACAACAACAAUAAAGCCUGGCAUGAGUGUCACAAGACUUUAAUUGUGGCUCAUGAUACUAUACCAUUCAAAUUAUAGCAAUAGCACUAAUGUUGACUAGAUGUUGAGCUGGAGUGGGUGUCUUUCUCUGCUCUUGGUCUAAGCUCAACCUGAAUAAACAAAUGAUGGAAUGCAUUUCCAUCAAAAACAGGUUUUAUUCCAAGAUAGCAUGGAAUAGAUUAUUUAAUAUGCUGUUAUAACAGCAUAUCAUACAAUCUAUUCCAUGCUGUCUUAAAAUGAAUUUAUCCAAGAUAGCAUGGAAU